UGCUGAAGCCAGAUCCAGUGGUGUGCGUCCGCCUUCAUUGUCAGUGUGGCACUUGAUGCAAAGACCAGCCCCGGAUUUCUUCCACAGCUUCAAUCCAGGUAGCAUCGGAUGGCUGAUAGCGCACUUGGCAAUCCUCCACGUGGCAAAGGCUUCUGAAAAAGAGGAAAAAGUUCAGCAGUUUUGUUGUCCGGCUCCUGAAAAUCCAAGUAAAUCCUGUUCCCAAGGAAGCUGGGCUCGCAGAGGGUAGCGGAGAGGCAUCUCUCACAUCAUCCUGCUUGUGCGCACGCACGGGAGGUGACAGGUUUUUGAACUGCCUUCUGCAGCCUGGCUCCGUGUGUGCCCAGAGCCUGGAAGAGCCGGGCCAGUCUUAGGAAGUACCUGGCUUCUGUGCUUUUGAAUGAAACCGAGAACUUUCUGGGCAGAGCUAAUCUCGAGGAGGAAAUCCCUUUCCUACUGCAGGAGGUGACCCCAGGGGAAGAUGGCGUGGCAAGGACAUGAGCCAGCUGCCGCCUCGCCUGCCUGGGCAGCCCCUGCCUUCCUGGAGCUCGGAAGCACUCAGCCACUGCGUUGUCCACCGCGGAGACACUUCCCUUGCAGGCACGGCCGCGCUCUCAGGAGGACACCUGUCGGUGUGAGUCUCUGCUGUCUCCUCCGAUCAGGCAGCUGAGGACAGGAGCUUGACGGAGACAGCCCGCUCGCAGGAGCAGCGGGAGCUCACGUUUGCUUUCAGGGCUGCAGCUCCCUGGGACGGUCCUGAGCUCCGCAUAUUUUGCAGCCCUGUCCCAUACGGGUCUCGUCAACCUAUAGACGGUGAACAAGAAAAUCCAUCCCCGCCAUGGGGUGCCAAGGCAGUACAGGGGGCUAUAGGUCUCUACCAUAGGUUUGCUGGACCCAUGCGGGUUGGGGAAGAGGUGGCUGAUAUCAACAGGGAAAAGACCUCACCAUCUCCCUUGUUACCCUAACA